CUGNCCAGNGAACCUGGUCAUCNGCCGUCNGNUCCUNACCGUGCGAAGGUAGNGUAAUCACUUGUUCUUUANAUGUGGACUAGUAUGAAUGGCAUCACGAAGGUUAUACUGUCUCCUUUUUCUAAUCAGUGAAACUAAUCUCCCCGUGAAGAAGCGGGGAUAAAAAUAUAAGACGAGAAGACCCUAUGGAGCUUUAAACAAAGUAGCACUCGCCACAUAAAUGAAAAAUUCCAGAAUCACCAUCUUCCUCAGGCAAUCUGACUACACGUUUUUGGGUUGGGGUGACCGCGGAGUAUAACACAACCUCCAUGUUGAAAGAAAGCUUUCUAAACUAAGAGCUACACCUUUAAGUAUCAAAAGAUUGACAUCCAUUGANCCAAUAAAUUUGGACAACGAACCAAGUUACCCUAGGGAUAACAGCGCAAUCCACNUCAAGAGCUCCUAUCGNCAAGUGGGUUNUCGACCUAGAUGCUCCUUCUGGGUCUCCNANUGAUNCAUGNGCUGANAUANGG
rnacentral:rRNA from 1 species